rnacentral:misc_RNA from 1 species
UAUUACAAAUAUGUUAUUAUCCGGGUAGUAUUAGCUUUAGAUAUUUGACUGUUAGGUCUUUUUCUGACUGCCAAUCGAACACCAAGACUACCCGGAUAAUAACAUAUUUGUAAUACUUAACUGCAAAAGCUCAAUAUGCAUCAGCAGUACAAACUCGCCAUCAAGCUAUAACUAAAUUCUCAGAGCGGUGCAACAUAUAUCAGAGUUGAGUCAUAUUGAGGGUAAGUGCGCUAGGGAGACAAGGUUUUUCCCAUACCCAACUGGUGCACUUCCUGGAGCAGCUCCAUAUGCACCUGACUGAGGAAC